ACAUAAAAUGUUUUAUAAAUAAACACCAGGUGGAAUUUCACCGUAUUUUAUAUAAAAUGUUUUAUAAAUAAACACCAGGUGGAAUUUCACCGUGUUUUACAUAAAACGUUUUAUAAAUAAACACCAGGUGGAAUUUCACUAUAAUAAGCUUUUCUUUGAUAAAAGGAAAAAAAAGGCAACAAACUCAAGUUAGAAACUUUUUUGAAUAACACACUCAAUAGCAUCCUAAUUCUAUCAAACCCACAGGUGAUUUACAGUAAAAGUGAUAAAGCAAAGUUAUGAAACAAGUGAACAUUAAUCACUCUUUACUUGGAUGUUUUACAUUGGCUGUGCUACAUGGGUUUAUCACUGUCACACUCACAACAUAAGCAGGUGCUCUAAUCUUUAACAUGA